rnacentral:lncRNA from 1 species
GAGGCAAUUCAAGGAUCCCAACAGCUUCAAAUGAGAGAGUGUCUAUGUAGCUGGUUUAAUUCAGUCUACUAACAUAAUUAAAAGGAAAAAGUAGAUGAAUAUAUUUUUCCAGGUGUAACAAUCAAGAAGGCAAAUUAAGUAAAUAGGAAUUUACUUUGAGAAGCCAUUUAUUUUGCAGCCUUCAGUCCAAAAAAAGUCAACCUUUUCAGAAUUUUUUAUAUAAGUUGUAGGUCAUUUUUAUAACAAUAAAAAAUCAAAUAUUUAAUUUCCUACAUCUGUUUACCUUAACUGGCCCAUUCCUAUAAGCUUA